rnacentral:rRNA from 1 species
CAGUCGCCACGGGAAAACGAAGGGUGCAAGCGUUAAUCGGAAUUACUGGGCUUAAAGCGCGUGUAGGCGGCUCGGCACGUCGGACGUUGAAAGCCCCCGGCUCAACCGGGGAAGUGGCGCCGAUACGGCCGAGCUGGAGGGAGGUAGGGGGGUCUGGAACUUCCGGUGGAGCGGUGAAAUGCGUUGAGAUCGGAAGGAACGCCCGUGGCGAAAGCGAGGCCCUGGACCUUUUCUGACGCUGAGACGCGAAAGCCAGGGGAGCGAACGGGAUUAGAUACCCCGGUAGUCCCUGUCUCUUAUA